GCGACUUUUACGGGUGGGAACGGCACGCAGGAAGGUCCGGCCAGGCGCCCGGCAGGCCCGGCCACGCGCGCCCCACUCAGCGCGCGAAGCUUUUACGAGCCGCAAGGAGUCCUGACCCACUUAUCGGAGCAAUCCCACAAGUUUGAGCGAGAUUCAAGUUCAGUCGGGGGCCGUAUGCCGGCCGGCGGGCGGCGUGGUGCUUCCCCCGCCGGGUGGGCCAGCGCCCCGCCCCGCCCGGCUGCUCCCGCCCGUCACAGUCUACUUCCCGCCAGAGCCAAGAUGUUUCGAGUACCUCAUAGUUUCGCAGCGAGCUUCAUCUCCUCUCUAAAAAUGGAGGAACACAUGCUCGUCUCCAUAGGCAGGCAGGCACGUUCCAGCCCCGCACCUGACACACACUCCAGCCCGCGACGCGGCGAGCGCUCAAGGCCACUCUCAUCUACUCCAGUGCAGCUGCGCCAUGGAGGCUGCGCUGCAGUCCCACUGCACUCGGCGAUGCAACUCCAGAGCUUUUUGCCAGCCUCCUCUCCGGCUGGUCCAGCCACAAGCUCACUCCUUCCCGGCACCAUCAGCCUCCCCCUCCGCAUCAGCUUCAUCUUGGUCCAAAUCAUGCCUCCAGGGCCUCCAGUCAGCUUUAGCAUCGGCCCUCCUUUUCUCCAUUGCACCCGUUGGGUAACGUGUAAUGAGACGCAGGAUCGCACCGACACCACUUCGACGGGUUCCUUGCCAAACGCAGCCGCUGCUGCUGCGGCAGGAGGAAGGGCCGAGCAACACAGGGAGAGGCACUUCGUCAGCUUUUUUGUGCGAAUCGUUCUCUGAGGGACGCGCAGGCAGCUCCGGGAGUUGCGAGAUGGGCGUCGCCAAUGGACGACAAAAAAAGAAUAUUACAUUAUUACCGAAAGCGGAUUCGGUAAAGUACGCGCGCGCCUACACCUCUCAUCCUCAUUGGCACACCAGCACCAGCAGUAGAGGUAGAGGCAGAGGCGAGAGAAGGAAGACCCCGAUGGGAAUCUCCCCGCUGCCGGCUCCAAAUUAACAUCCGACCUGGUUCUUUGCUCUUUCUGCCGGGAUGUUGUUUAAGUGAUGCCCGCUCAUCGCUUUGCGCAACACGGCUAUGGUCGUGGGCUUCCCUGCUGCUCCGCCCCGGACAAAGGCUGGCGAUGUUCUCUGCUCGUGCUCGUCGUCAGCUGGCUGUGGUCACAUCGCGACUGCACGCACGGCACGUACCGGCCGAUUACGCGCACUCCCCCCGCAGCAAGCACCACGCUCCCAUAGCAAAGAAACACGAGCGCACACUUUUUUGUCAUCUGAGAAAAUAAAUCCGAAACAAGCUGA